rnacentral:tRNA from 1 species
GCCAACAUAGUUUUGAUCAAAACACUAGGUUGUGGACCUAGCAACAAGGAAAUG